rnacentral:lncRNA from 1 species
CGGUUUCGAUUGUUACUUUCUUAUACUUUUGUAAGAAAUUUACACUACAAGGGUAUGUAACGCAACGUGAAAGAAAAUUCUAGAGAGUCUAAGAAAGAGCGAAGAACCCUCUUUCUCUCUCUUCUCUCCCUUUUAUAGUCGGUUACAUAAAGCUUCAACAACAAAAAGCUUGAUUCUUAUAGUUAUUACAGAUCAUAACAAAACCUUGAACCUGCAAAAGCCUUAACAACAAAAAGCACACAGGUUCCUUAAACCUACACUUUAUAAAGUGAACUACUACAAGGCUUGAUUCUAUUUAGGGUACGUAGACAACCCACCUUGGGUACAGCUAUUAAUAAAAAAUAAAACAUUUCAAAAGAUUCGAGCUCUUUAGCUCACUUCUCGAGCUCUAUAGCUUCGAGCUUGUAGCUCUCUUUAUGAAGAUCCAUAGCUCCGAGCUUUGUAACUCCCUCUAUUUACAAGCUCGUUAGCCCUUAAUAGCUUUUUUCAUCGAUGCCUUGGCCAGUCAGCAACCAAUCAAGCAUCUCUCAUAGUUGCCUUGGUGAAACGACACCCUCAUCAUGAGCAGCAUCUUUUAAAGUUCAAAAGAAGCAACUCUUUUAGACAAAGACGUAAAAAGAUGGGAAAAAAGGUUUUUAUUGAUUUAGGAAUGGACCUUAUGAAAAGCUACCUACGUACCCUUUUCGAGGAUCAAGCCGAAGGUAGUUCUGUUUACAAGGUUUCAAAAAGAGAUCGAACUGCCUUUGCAAGUUCGUCUAGUAAUCGAGUGCAAACCAUAUAAAACUAAGCAUGUCGAGAAUAAUGUGUAAGGUUUCUAAGUGCAAAUAGUUCUAAGAACCUAAAAUCCUCC